GCCAAAAAGUCUGUACAGAUUCACAUUUCAAAAACAUAUGAUCAACAGUUUCAAUAUCUUUCUCACAGAACCCGCAUGAAUUGUUCUCCCAAUUAAAUCUUUCUUGUAGGAAGUGAUUAGAUGGAUAAAUGUCCUUUAGAAUUUUAAAUGUUACUUCUUUGGCUUUAGGAAGAACUGGAUAAGUAAAAUAAAGCUUCCUUAUUUUCUUUGCCUCUUCUUCAAUAAAUUCUUGAAGAACAUACUUUCUUUUCAGUUGACUGGGGAAGUACAGUUUGGAUAAUACAUUUCUGAUAAACUUAUUUGUUAAUUGUUUGCUCUUUAAAUUUUUACCUUUAGUACAUGAUGGAUAGCAUAGGUGUAACUUAGUUUUUGGUGGCUUGUGGUAAAAUAACGUAGUGAAUAAUGAAAGGACACGAUCGUUUUGUAUGUGUAUUCCUUUAGCAUUUGUUGUAUAAUUUUAAAAAGGUCAUAUGAGGUGGUUGUUUUCAUAUUUAAUUUUUCAUUCACUUCCAGGGAUAGGAUUGGCAUAGAAGAUGCAGCACUCUUUACAUUUUAAAUAUCAAAUGUAUAUCAAGUGUUAUCCAUCCUCAUAACACCUCCACAAAUAGAGACUGAAACUUCUGAGCACCAUCACCUUGUCUGGUAUGGGACUGUCAUAGCCCAGCAAUCAGAUGCAUCAGAACAACAAAGCACAACUGUGGUGGACCAGGCACCUUCAGCAACAAGUAAAUUGCUUUAACAUUAAUGAUAAUUAAAUGUCAGUAUUGUAAUUAAACUUGACCCAUCUGACGUAAUUGUUCAUGCCAGAGAUUUAACAACACUGUCAGUCAGGAGCAUAUUUAACAGGAGGCACACUUCAGCUGGCUUGAUGGUGACUUCAGUAAGUGUGGUCAACCCUCUUGUUUUUGUGGCUAUAACAAUUAGACUAAGUAAUCUCACUCUCUUCCAUUUCCUUAACAUUACCCUUUUUUUUGU